AAUAUUGGACAAUGGGCGAAAGCCUGAUCCAGCCAUGCCGCGUGUGUGAAGAAGGCCUUUUGGUUGUAAAGCACUUUAAGCGAGGAGGAGGCUACUUAGAUUAAUACUCUAGGAUAGUGGACGUUACUCGCAGAAUAAGCACCGGCUAACUCUGUGCCAGCAGCCGCGGUAAUACAGAGGGUGCGAGCGUUAAUCGGAUUUACUGGGCGUAAAGCGUGCGUAGGCGGCUUUUUAAGUCGGAUGUGAAAUCCCUGAGCUUAACUUAGGAAUUGCAUUCGAUACUGGGAAGCUAGAGUAUGGGAGAGGAUGGUAGAAUUCCAGGUGUAGCGGUGAAAUGCGUAGAGAUCUGGAGGAAUACCGAUGGCGAAGGCAGCCAUCUGGCCUAAUACUGACGCUGAGGUAGGAAAGCAUGGGGAGCAAACAGGAUUAGAUACCCUGGUAGUCCAUGCCGUA
rnacentral:rRNA from 1 species